rnacentral:rRNA from 1 species
GAUGAACGCUGGCGGCGUGCCUAAUACAUGCAAGUCGAGCGAACAGACGAGGAGCUUGCUCCUCUGACGUUAGCGGCGGACGGGUGAGUAACACGUGGAUAACCUACCUAUAAGACUGGGAUAACUUCGGGAAACCGGAGCUAAUACCGGAUAAUAUAUUGAACCGCAUGGUUCAAUAGUGAAAGACGGUUUUGCUGUCACUUAUAGAUGGAUCCGCGGCGCAUUAGCUAGUUGGUAAGGUAACGGCUUACCAAGGCAACGAUGCGUAGCCGACCUGAGAGGAUGAUCGGCCACAGUGGGAAUGAACCCCGGUCCAGACUCCUACGGGCGGCAGCAGGAGGGAAUGUACCGCGAGGGGAGAAAGCAUGAAGGAGCAACGCGUGGUGGAUGAAGAAGGUCUUCGGAUCGAAAACCUCUGUUAUGGGGGAAGAACAAUUGGGUAAGAAACUAUGCUCGUGUUGACGCUACCUGAACAAAAACCGGCGGAUAACGAC